ensembl:lncRNA
GGGGCACCGCGGGCGGGCUGCCGUGGGAUGGGCGGUCGGUGGCGGCGCUCCCCGACGCCGGGCCGCCGGCGGAGUCCUCCCGGCGCGAAUGCUUUCCCUUUCUGCAUGUCCUCUUUCUUGUAAGCCAGACGUCAUUUUUUCAUUGCGAAGACCAAAUGCGCGGAACGUGAGCGGUCAUUUCGAGGGGCCGCACCUGGGGACGGAGCCCAAGCCCCCGCUCUGUUUGAAGAAUAGCCGCGUCUGUUUGCCACACUUCCGCGCCCUCGUUUUUUCGCCACCCUCCUCCUCUUCCUUCCCGCCGAGGGUGAUGAGAACUACAGGACUGAUUGCCUGAACUCCUGGGCCUUUCAUCCAAAACCCGAACCAAAGAGGGUUGAGGUCUUCUCAGGAGGCAGUUGGAAGGGGCAUGUUUGUUGGCAGUGUUUGAGGAAUUGUGGCAAGCAGAAGCGGUCACAGAACAACGGAUAGAAGCGAGUGUACUGCAGAAAGGGGGGAAAAUGGAUUCCAUAGACCACAAACGGGUGUCCGCGUUCGUCAGUCCCACCCUCUUCCUCGCUCGCUCUCUCCACACAACCGUGCAAAGGAGGCCCUGCCUGAGCUCACCCGGCAGGAGCCGCUUUUCCAUACAGGACGAAUCCUUUCGCUCCGGCUCUGAAGCUCCCCUGCCACUUGCUCAGGAAUCUAGUUACUCGCCAUGCCAGUCUCUCUCUUCUAACCGUCUUCUGUGGGGCUGUGUACAUUUAAAUAAUUUUAAGGCCUUAAUUCCUUCCUGUUGUGAACCUCUUGUAAUCAGAACCAAAAAUAUUUUUGUUCCUGUUUUUAAGUCACAGAGGGGAGUUCCUGUCGUGGUACAGUGGUUAACUAAUCUGACUAGGUACCAUGAGGUUUCGGAUUCGAUCCCUGGCCUCACUCAGUGGGUUAAGGAUCUGGUGUUGCCGUGAGCUGUGGUGUAGGUCGCAGAUGCGGCUUGGAUCUGGUGUGGCUGUGGCUGUGGUGUAGACUGGCGGCUACAGCUCCGAUUAGACCCCUAGCCUGGGAACCUCCAUAUGCCAUGGGUGUGGCCCUAAAAAGGACGAAAAAGUCACAGAGGGCUAAGUGAUCCAGCCACAUUGGAGGACAAUUUGGCAUGUCUAUAACAUGUUUAAAUAUCUGUACCCUAUGACUCAACAAUGCCAGUCUCGGUAUCCUGCCUAAAAAAGCACUUUUGUGACCAGAGAGGCACACAUACAAUGCUCGUUUGCAACAUCGUUGGAAAUAAACUAAAUGUUCAUAAGCAGAGAUGAAUCUAUAUGUGCUCUUAGUCUCUAAGACCUGUUGUUGAACGAAAAAGGCACGACACAGAUAAAUGUGUGGAAUAUAGAACCUUUUAUGAGAAAUCGUUAACACGCAUUUCCUGUAGGGGUAUAGAAAUAUAAACGUGUACAGAAAGGACUGGAAGGAUAAACGUUAAUUACCAGUAGAAGGUAUCGGGACUCGUGAUCAAAGGGGACUCUAGCUUUAUCUGUAAUGUUUCAGAUUUUACAAGAUUGUAUGCCUGCUUAAAUAAUUAAAAUUUUAUUUUGAAAAUUCCCGUUUCCUUCUCUUGCCCUGAUUUCUUUUCCCAGGCAGUUUUGUUUGAAUCCUCCAUUCGUAACCCGUCUCUUCAUUUCCCGUUCCUCUCUUAAUUGCGAUUAAUCUGACAUCUGCCCUUGCUGUGUUAAAAUGUUUUUUACACUGCCCCAACUAAUGAUUAGUUAGCAGAUGUGUUACACACUCUUUUUUUCAGCUAUUUCAUAUUUCUUCUGGAACAUCCAAGAGCGCUAACCUUUUCUACAGCCCUUCUCUCUCUCGGCUUCCAGUCCCCCUUCUCUUGUUCCUGCUCGCUGCCUUCCUCUGCCUCUGCCAUUCCCAGCCACCCGCAUGGUAGACCUUGCAGCAAUGUUGGUGAAAUAUGUUUCAGUGAUUAUAAUUCAAGACAACGCGUGGGUUAUCCUCGGAGCUUUACGCUUAUGUUGUGAACACGAAAUGUGAUGUUAAUGGGACGAUAAAGUACGCUGGAUUUGGAAUGAAAAGAACAGGUUUGUGGGGUUCCCUGGGGGCCCGGCAGGUCACGGAUCCAGCAUUGUCACUGCUGUGGCUCAGGUCACUGCUGUCACAAGGGUUCAAUCCCUGGCCCAGGGACUUCUGAAUGCCAUGGGCACAGCCAAAAAAUUAAAGAAAUAAGUGGUUUGAAACCUGGUUUUUACAACGUUAUAUACCCUUGUGGCUUUUAGCAAAUAUCAACCUCUCUUAGCUUCGGUUUCGGCCCAGUGGUAACAAACCUGGCUCACUCAGUGGGUUAAGGAUCCAGCAUUGCUGUGAGCUGUGGUGUAGGCAGCAGAUGCGGCUCAGAUAUGGUGUGGCUGUGGCUGUGGUGUAGGCCGGUGGCUACAGCUCCGAUUUGACCCCUAGCCUGGGAACUUCCAUAUGCCAUGGGUGCUGCCUUAAAAAUCAAAACAAAUCUAGAAAAAA